rnacentral:lncRNA from 13 species
CAGCCGGUCUCACGGGCCUACCAUGGGGCUAGAGAAACCGGGCGGUGACAACGACCGAGAGAAAGCGGGAACUCCCCUGGCCAGCCAGCGCCGCGGGUCCGUCAGGCGGGCCCGGUAGCGUCGACCGCGCAGGCGCAACCGGCAAGCGCGGUCUCCCAGAAACGCUUCCCCAAACCCCGCGGCCUCCCGGGGGAAAACUGGGUAGUGGGGCAGAGCGUCGGCGGACCAAGAGCGGCUUGCUGGUUUGUCCCGGACCGCCGCGGAUCCCACACCGCCCCCUGCUGGAGGAGGCCGAUACUGCUCCUCACCACUCCCGAGGCGGUCUUUGUCAUCCCUCCUAGCGGAGGCGAGGGGCGGUCAGGCUGACUGCAAGAGAACGAAUCCCGAGUAAAGAACUCUCAGCGGGUGAAGGCAAGACUGGAGGAUGUUCUGAAUUGCAUCGCCAUACCACUAGAUAGCACCAAAUUUAGUUUGAGCUCAGUCUACUCAUAAGAAUGUAUUCUAAGGAAAUCAUCAGAUUUGGAAUUACUAUUCCAGGAAAAUAAGCAAAUAAGGAAACCAGGCUUAUUUUAAACAAUCAAAUCUCUAAUGCUACGGAUUCCUUAUGUAAAUUAUGAUGAUUAGCUAAUCCUCAAUCUGGCCUGGUGUCAGAGUCCCACCUCCUACCUCAAUUUCAUACGAUGUUAGCACCAGCAUCCAUUAAAACUCAUCCUGUAGAGGGAUAUCACAUAAUGGAAAUGUUACUGUGGCAUUACCGAGUGAAGAAAAAACUGGCUAUAGAGCACCCUAGAAUCAUCCAUUUCUCCAAGGAGCUUUGCAUCCUUUUAUUGGAAGAUGAUAUUACAAUCCAAGAUCUGUUCUGAAGCCAAGAUGACCUAACUGGAAAAAAAAAAAAAGAAUCCAAGAUCUGAGCACAAGGUUGGUCUAUAGAAUGUUAUUGUUUCUAAGUGAAGAGAUCUUUUUGAUUACAUACAUUUUCCUAUUUUUCUUGUUUUUUAGUGGUUUAUUAAUUUGUUUUCUAGCCCUGUGCUCUGAUAGAUGUGAGAUCUCAUCUCUCCUAGAUGAAUAAUAAUUUUAUUUAUAUAUUUCCUUUAAUUUUUGCUUCCUGAAAUCUGUUCCUUUUAGGUUCUCUUUACGUUUGCUGUUUUGGUCUCGGACUUUGAUGCCAAAAGCGAUCCUCCAAUAUAUGAUCGUUUUUAAUGGUACUUUCCAGCGAUAAAAUGCUGAUUUGAAAUAUAUUCUUUAUAGGACAACUUGCCUAUUGGUAAUUUCAUUACUGAAUAAUGGGUGGGGACUUGGUACUUUUGUUGGGGAUCCCCACAUCAUUAUUUGAAGACCCUGUGCAUGUGAAGGGCACAGGGAGCUCUGGGAACCGAUGUCCUGUUAGCAGCAGUAGCUGAGUAGAAGCCCCAGUUAGGUACUGUAUAUAGGAUCCGGAUGAUCCAGGCCAUACACUUCUCUGUUGCCAGCUCUCCCCUUGGUGAUUACUGCAAGAAACAAAGAGACCCAUUUCCCCUCAAUACAAGGGGUGGGAAAUGAAAAGACAUUGGAAAGAGAAGAGGUUCAUUCACUAAUAUUUGUUUUAUUGUUAGUAAUAUUUAUAAAGCACAGGAUUCAGUUUCAGAGGAUUUCAAUAUAGACCCCUUGUUCUGAAAUUCCUACCCUUCCCUUAAAAAUGUUGACAUCCAAUAAAAUUCAUUAGAUUAAGUAUUUUCUGCUGUCU